AUUGAACGCUGGCGGCAUGCCUUACACAUGCAAGUCGAACGGCAGCACGGGUGCUUGCACCUGGUGGCGAGUGGCGAACGGGUGAGUAAUAUAUCGGAACAUACCCUAGAGUGGGGGAUAACGUAGCGAAAGUUACGCUAAUACCGCAUACGAACUAAGGUUGAAAGUGGGGGAUCGCAAGACCUCAUGCUCAUGGAGUGGCCGAUAUCUGAUUAGCUAGUUGGUGAGCUAAAGGCUCACCAAGGCGACGAUCAUUAGCUGGUUUGAGAGAACGACGAGCCACACUGGAACUGAGACUCGGUCCAGACUCCUGCGGGAGGCAGCAGUGGGGAAUUUUGGGCAAUGGGGGCAACCCUGAUCCAGCAAUGCCGCGUGAGUGAAGAUGGCCCUCGGGUUGUAAAGCUCUUUUGUCAGGGAAGAAACGGUCUACUCUAAUACAGUGGGCUAAUGACGGUACCUGAAGAAUAAGCACCGGCUAACUACGUGCCAGCCGCCGCCGUAA
rnacentral:rRNA from 1 species